UGGCGAGCGGCGGACGGGUGAGUAAUGCAUGGGAAUGUGCCCGAUAGUGGGGGAUAACCUGGGGAAACCCAGGCUAAUACCGCAUACGUCCUACGGGAGAAAGCAGGGGCUCUUCGGACCUUGCGCUAUCGGAUGAGCCUAUGUCGGAUUAGCUAGUUGGUGAGGUAAUGGCUCACCAAGGCGACGAUCCGUAGCUGGUCUGAGAGGAUGAUCAGCCACAUCGGGACUGAGACACGGCCCGAACUCCUACGGGAGGCAGCAGUGGGGAAUAUUGGACAAUGGGCGCAAGCCUGAUCCAGCCAUGCCGCGUGUGUGAAGAAGGCCUUCGGGUUGUAAAGCACUUUCAGUGAGGAAGAACGCCUUGGGCCUAAUACGUCCAAGGGAAGACAUCACUCACAGAAGAAGCACCGGCUAACUCCGUGCCAGCAGCCGCGGUAAUACGGAGGGUGCGAGCGUUAAUCGGAAUUACUGGGCGUAAAGCGCGCGUAGGUGGCUUGAUAAGCCGGUUGUGAAAGCCCCGGGCUCAACCUGGGAACGGCAUCCGGAACUGUCAGGCUAGAGUGCAGGAGAGGAAGGUAGAAUUCCCGGUGUAGCGGUGAAAUGCGUAGAGAUCGGGAGGAAUACCAGUGGCGAAGGCGGCCUUCUGGACUGACACUGACACUGAGGUGCGAAAGCGUGGGUAGCAAACAGGAUUAGAUACCCUGGUAGUCCACGCCGUAAACGAUGUCGACUAGCCGUUGGGAGCCUCGAGUUCUUAGUG
rnacentral:rRNA from 1 species